AAAAAAUCAUAAAUUUGAAGCUAACAAUCUGAUUUUAGACCAAAAUUACAACAAAGUGAAGAUGGAGACCAAAAAUCCAAAAUUUAAAAAGAAAGACCAAAAAUGUGUUGGAUAGCCAAAGUACAUUGUUAACAAUUUAUCGGCAAAAAUAAAAUUUAAAAUCCCGGGAUUUUCGACAUUCACCCAGCACAAGUGUUCAACACGUUUGUAAAUAAAUUAUUUCACCAAGUUACAAAAAGUUAAUUGUCUAAAAUCAAGAGACAACAUGCUGUUUACUAAUCAUAAUCUUCAAUAUGUUUGGCAUGCACUACGGUUUCAUCUUUCUCCUAAUGGAAACAAAUAAAAUACAACCAUCUUUUAGUUCAUUCUGUUUUCUUCUUCGUUCACUUCAUAUUCUUC
rnacentral:lncRNA from 1 species